rnacentral:rRNA from 1 species
UACCCGCAGCACAAGUGGUGGUCAUUAUUAUUGGGCCUAAAGCGUCCGUAGCUGGCCUGUUAGAUGCCUGGGUAAAUCGAUGCGCUUAACGUAUCGAACUCCGGGUAGACCGGCAGGCUCGAGACCGGGAGAGGUGUAGGCUACUCGGGGGGUAGGGGUAAAAUCCUGUAAUCCUUCGGGGAGGACCAGUGGCGAAGGCGCUACACUAGAACGGCUCUGACAGUGAGGGACGAAGCCCUGGGGCGCAAACCGG